rnacentral:rRNA from 1 species
GACGAACGCUGGCGGCGUGCCUAAUACAUGCAAGUCGAACGCACAGUUUAUACCGUAGCUUGCUACACCAUAGACUGUGAGUUGCGAACGGGUGAGUAACGCGUAGGUAACCUGCCUGGUAGCGGGGGAUAACUAUUGGAAACGAUAGCUAAUACCGCAUAAUAUUAAUUAUUGCAUGAUAAUUAAUUGAAAGGUGCAAUUGCACCACUACCAGAUGGACCUGCGUUGUAUUAGCUAGUAGGUGAGGUAACGGCUCACCUAGGCGACGAUACAUAGCCGACCUGAGAGGGUGGUCGGCCACCCUGGGACUGAGACACGGCCCAGACUCCUACGGGAGGCAGCAGUAGGGAAUCUUCGGCAAUGGACGAAAGUCUGACCGAGCAACGCCGCGUGAGUGAAGAAGGUUUUCGGAUCGUAAAGCUCUGUUGUAAGAGAAGAACGGGUGUGAGAGUGGAAAGUUCACACUGUGACGGUAGCUUACCAGAAAGGGACGGCUAACUACGUG